CAAAUUCCUCAAUAACCUACACAGCUAAAACCGACGAUGUCGUUUAUUUGCAUUCGUAUAGGUAAACAUUACACCAUUUUGUGCAUGAAAGUUUUGUUAUAUAUUAUACUUGCAGAUAUUAAAAGGUGAUAAUAUGGGCAAAAUCAGUGUAUACGAGCGUGGUCAGAUAGAAAACGCUAUAAGCAUUUCUUCUUCUUUGCGUGUUGGUCAGUGGUAUUUAAAUUUUAGAUUGCUUUCUUCUCUCGGAAAUCACCAAUUUUAAUUGCAAUGUCUUUUAAUUGUUUUUCUAAAUAAUUCACCAUGUCUCCUUUUACUAGUAGCGUUUGAUCG